GUUAAAGUUUCUAUAACAGUAAACUAAAGAUAGGUUAAAGUUUCUGUAACAGUAAACUACAGAUAGGUUAAAGUUUCUAUAACAGUAAACUAAAGAUAGGUUAAAGUUUCUAUAACAGUAAACUACAGAUAGGUUAAAGUUUCUAUAACAGUAAACUACAGAUAGGUUAAAGUUUCUGUAACAGGAAACUAAAGAUAGGUUAAAGUUUCUAUAACAGUAAACUACAGAUAGGUUAAAGUUUCUAUAACAGUAAACUAAAGAUAGGUUAAAGUUUCUAUAACAGUAAACUACAGAUAGGUUAAAGUUUCUAUAACAGUAAACUAAAGAUAGGUUAAAGUUUCUAUAACAGUAAACUAAAGAUAGGUUAAAGUUUCUAUAACAGUAAACUAAAGAUAGGUUAAAGUUUCUGUAACAGUAAACUACAGAUAGGAUAAAGUUUCUGUAACAGUAAACUAAAGAUAGGAUAAAGUUUCUGUAACAGUAAACUAAAGAUAGGUUAAAGUUUCUGUAACAGUAAACUACAGAUAGGUUAAAGUUUCUGUAACAAACUACAGAUAGGUUAAAGUUUCUGUAACAGUAAACUAAAGAUAGGUUAAAGUUUCUGUAACAAACUACAGAUAGGUUAAAGUUUCUGUAACAGUAAACUCUGUGAUAUCUAUUUAUUUAUUUAUACGGCAUUUUAAAGGAAUUUAUACGGAAUAAAGUCGUAAUGAGCACAUAGUGUUCACAUGGUAUUUUCUUACGGUAAAAACAUUAAUUCAGUAAUAAAAUAAUAUAAUAUAUAAUACAGUAACAGUAGAAAAGGUUCUUCCGUAUUUAUUCGGUAAAGUUUUGCCACAGCUGCCAUUUUUUAACCGUAAAUUUAAGACUUUUUUUACAGUGUAGUUUGAGCAGACAAAAAUCUAUUCUGUUCAAUAAAAGUAUCUGAGUGAUAAUAACCUUGUCCUCACUUAUAAAUGAUCAGAUUGAUUUAUUGAUCACUGAUUGAUUUUUGUUUGCUCUAUUUAAGCGUUCUUUGCGUCAUAAUAAUUUCAUCACAAACUGUAAUUUAUGUGCUUUUGUGUUGUUUGUGGGGAAGAUUGUUUAUUGUUCAGUUGCUCUGCUGUUAUUGAUAUAUAUAUGAUAUAUUGAUCUAUAGAAUAUAGAAUAUAAAACAGUCACUGAUAGAAAAAGGCUCCUUUAGGGAACAGGUUGGGAACCACUGAAGAGGGCAUCCACACACUUUCGACCGUAUUGUGUUUAGUCAUCUGGCCGACUGAGUAAUCGCUGAUUGAAUAAACCCCGCCCCCUCCCUGGCAGGGCGGGCUCCAUGUUGCAGUGGGCGGGGCCUCUACUGACCAAUGGCAAAGGGCAAAGCAUCAAGCAGGAAACAGGAAGCAGCGGCGGCAUCUUACCAGUGUUCUUUCAGACACACGUCACGGUUACCGCAGCAACACUA